CUGAGAACACAUGCAACGCCCUAGCCCACACCUGACGCUGAGAUCAAGCAGGGAAGAACGGGAUUAGAAACCCCGGUAUCCUGGCCGUAAACGAUGCAACUAGGCGUAGGAGGUUAUUGACCCCUUCUGUGCUGUUAGCUAACGCGUUAAGUUGACCGCCUGGGACUACGGCCGCAAGGCUAAAACUCAAAGGAAUUGACGGGUCCCCGCCACAAGCAGCGGACGUGUGGUUUAAUUCGAGGCUACACGAAGAACCUUACCAGGGUUUGACAUGCUAGUGGUAGUGAAGCGAAAGGGGACCGACCUUCGGGAGCCGUCACAGGUGCUAGCAUGGCUGUCGUCAGCUCGUGUCGUGAGAUGUUCGGUUAAGUCCGGUAACGAGCGCAACCCUCGUCGCCAGUUACACGUUGUCUGGCGAGACUGCCCGUAGAAAGCGGGAGGAAGGUGGGGAUGACGUCAAGUCAGCAUGGCCUUGAUGUCCAGGGCGACACACACGCUACAAUGGCCGGUACAAUGGGGCGCCAACCCGCGAGGGGGAGCCAAUCCGCCAAAGCCGGUCUCAGUUCGGAUUGCAGGCUGCAACCCGCCUGCAUGAAGUCGGAGUUGCUAGUAACCGCAGGUCAGCCAUACUGCGGUGAAUACGUUCCCGGGCCUUGUACACACCGCCCGUCACGUCAUGGGAGUUGGUCACGCCUGAAGUCGGUGGGCUAACCGCAAGGAGGCAGCCGCCAAAGGCAGGGCUGGUGACUGGGACGAAGUCGUAACAAGGUAGCC
rnacentral:rRNA from 1 species